rnacentral:rRNA from 1 species
UGGGGAAUAUUGGACAAUGGGCGAAAGCCUGAUCCAGCCAUGCCGCGUGAGUGAUGAAGGCCCUAGGGUUGUAAAGCUCUUUUGUGCGGGAAGAUAAUGACGGUACCGCAAGAAUAAGCCCCGGCUAACUUCGUGCCAGCAGCCGCGGUAAUACGAAGGGGGCUAGCGUUGCUCGGAAUCACUGGGCGUAAAGGGUGCGUAGGCGGGUUUCUAAGUCAGAGGUGAAAGCCUGGAGCUCAACUCCAGAACUGCCUUUGAUACUGGAAGUCUUGAGUUCGGGAGAGGUGAGUGGAACUGCGAGUGUAGAGGUGAAAUUCGUAGAUAUUCGCAAGAACACCAGUGGCGAAGGCGGCUCACUGGCCCGAUACUGACGCUGAGGCACGAGAGCGUGGGGAGCAAACA